GACGUAGGCAGCGAGCGUUGUUCGGAAUUACUGGGCGUAAAGAGUGUGUAGGCGGUGCUCUAAGUUCGGUGUGAAAUCUCCCGGCUUACUGGGAGGUGCAGCGGAACUAGAGUGCUGAGAGGGUGGGAGAGGUAAGCGGAAUUCCUGGUGUAGCGGUGAAAUGCGUAGAUAUCGAGGAGGAACACCUGUGGUGUAGACAGCUUACUGGACCACGUUCUGACGCUGGAGACACGAAAGCGUGGGUAGCAAACAGG
rnacentral:rRNA from 1 species